rnacentral:rRNA from 1 species
UACGUAGGCAGCAAGCGUUGUUCGGAAUUACUGGGCGUAAAGAGCGUGUAGGCGGUGCUCUAAGUUCGGUGUGAAAUCUCCCGGCUUAACUGGGAGGGUGCGCCGGAAACUGGAGUGCUCGAGCGUGGGAGAGGAAAGCGGAAUUCCUGGUGUAGCGGUGAAAUGCGUAGAUAUCAGGAGGAACACCGGUGGUGUAGACGGCUUUCUGGACCAUAGCUGACGCUGAGACACGAAAGCGUGGGUAGCAAACAGG